rnacentral:rRNA from 1 species
UACGUAGGUGGCGAGCGUUGUCCGGAUUUACUGGGCGUAAAGAGCGCGCAGGCGGUCGUUCAAGUCGCGUGUGAAAUCCCUCGGCUCAACUGAGGAUCGUCGAUCGAUACUGCCGUUCUUGAGGAUUGCAGAGGAGACUGGAAUUCCCGGUGUAGCGGUGAAAUGUGUAGAGAUCGGGAGGAACACCGGUGGCGAAGGCGGGUCUCUGGGCAAUUCCUGACGCUGAGGCGCGAAAGCGUGGGGAGCAAACGGG